rnacentral:piRNA from 1 species
UGCAGGUGUAAGGUGGCUCCUUUGCA